ACAUUCUGCUUAUGAAAAGGAAGAUAGAAUCAAUGGUAGAGCAGAAAGAACAGUGUGAAGGGGGCUGAGAUCAGAACAGCGUGGAGAUAAGAACAUGAGUUCUGGGACCAGUAGACAAGGCUCCCAGUGCCAACCCUGUCACUUUCUUGUGGGACCCUGGGCAAGUCUCUUAACCAGUCUCAACCUCAACUUUCUCAUCUGUGAAGUGGGAACAGUAACCCUGAGCCUUCUAAGGCUAUUGUGAGGAUGGCAUGGGGAAAUAACAGAAUAUUCUGUAGUUAGCAAGAGUUCAGGAAAUGUUCCAUUCCCCAUCCCCCCACCAAGUAUUGAUAUUUUCCAGCUCUAGGGCAAACAUCUCUUGGAUUGGCCUUGGUAGAUAAUUUAAGGCAAGUUGGCUGCCCAGCAGAAUUUGCUGCAGUUCUAAGGCCUCUCCAUAUUAAUAGGACUAAUUGUGUCGAAGCUGAUGGAGCCUUUGGUUUGUGGCCAGAAUGCGGAGGCAUGAGGCCCUCUUUCAUGCUUGUGAAUGGCUGGGUUUGGUGAGCUCCUUUGAUGAGUUUUUUUUGUCUGUAUUCAAUCGGGUCAGUGUCCCUUCCCUAGAAUGGAAAUGGGGUCAGUGUCCUUUCCCUAGAAACACCGCACCCACGUCUUUGCCCCUUCGAGGGGCUGGUUUGUGGUUGUUGCUGUUGUUUUAUCAAAACUUUCUUUAAAGUGACCUCCUUUCUCCACAGCGCAUGCUAAAAUUCUGGGCUCUGAUUAAAUGUUUCUGAAAGCAGCCCUACUGCCUUUAGUUAGAUGCCAAAUAAACAACUCUCCCGCUGGGAGAGGACCCUCUUCUCACGCAAUCCCAGCCCUGCAGGGCGUAAGGGACGCUGACCACUGUGCCCUCUGCGGAUGGAAAGGACCCCAGAUUUAUCUCCCCCGAGAAUAGGGCAAGCGCAGUGCUGCUGCGCUGUGUUCCGGCUCCGCCUCCUCGCACCUCGUCCGACGUCCUCCUUGCAAAGCGCUGCUGUCCCCGGGCUGAGCUACCGGUCCAGGAUGAACAAACAUGUUGACUUCCAGAAGAGAUUGACUAUCCAAUGGACAGAUGAGACCUUUGGGUGCUGAGGGGUGAGGAUCCACCAAGAAAAGUCCAGAAUGAGAUUGUCCCUUGUUUUCAAAUGCCUGUCAACAAGCUAAGAUGACAGAUUUGCCUGUGAUAAUGUGCUGAGGCAAUAUGCAUUUUAACUGAAGCCUCCUGGAAUCAACUCCACUUGUGCUACUCAAGCCUGCAGUGACUUCGAGGGCAGAAUUUCAGGUGAACGUGAAUCCGGGGAAAAGUGGAACCUCAGUCUCACCCGGCAAAGAAGAUCUUAAGUUCCUCAGCUGUGGAUUGUCUGCCCUUCAAAGUAGGAAACUAAUUCUCACCAUCUGAGGAACCACUAAGUUCCUCAUGUUAUCUGUGUACUUCAGGUGCCUCCAAGAGAAGUUUUGUGGCACUUGACUGCGACUUCUCAUGGAAGUUUUAAAACUCUGUGACUGUGAUGAAGGACACUUUGAAUGAGUUGCUCUCCACUGUUUUGGAUGUUCAAUAAAUACGUGGUGAAA